GCACACGCACACAAGAAAGCUGUGAGAACGAAAGGUUGAGUUGGGGUGUCUGGGGUCCUGCCUUUAGGCUGUGCUGCAAAUUUGGGGCCCUAGUGAUUUUCUAUCGUCAAAGAUUCUUGAAGUUAUGUGCUCUUUUAGAGAUUGAUUUCCAUAUUCUUGAACUUAAUUUAGGGCAAUUAACAAGAUUAUUUUAGAAAUUUCUCUCCCAGUGUAAACGAGCAAAUCGAGUUACCAAUAAUACCACCAGGGAUGCCGAAACGACAAGAGGGCAACUGAGGAGAAGCAGC